rnacentral:rRNA from 1 species
UACGUAGGGGGCGAGCGUUGUCCGGAAUCAUUGGGCGUAAAGCGCGCGUAGGCGGUGCAGUACGUCGGCCGUGAAAGCGCCGGGCUCAACUCGGCGAGGUCGGGCGAGACGGCUGGGCUAGAGGCCGGUAGAGGGUCGUGGAAUUCCGGGUGUAGUGGUGGAAUGCGUAGAGCUCCGGAGGAACACCAGAGGCGAAGGCGGCGGCCUGGGCCGGACCUGACGCUGAGGCGCGAAAGCGUGGGGAGCGAUCCGG